UUUAUAUGCCAUUGCGAUAUUAGGAAACCGAACCAGGUCAGGACCGGAAGGUAGCAGCCUUAAGGAUUUCUAAUAUGUGCGAUGGUUUUUUGUUUUCUU
ensembl:misc_RNA Bacteria_small_SRP Bacterial small signal recognition particle RNA